rnacentral:lncRNA from 1 species
CUUCUACAAGCCGUAGUGCUGUCCGAUCAUCUUCUAAUCAAGUGAGUGUAUACUACCUUUCAUAAACACGAUAAUAAUACAAGUAUGGUUUGAGUGUAUUAAGUAUAUUGUUGUUUAUAUGCGUGAGUGUGUAGUUACUUUCUUCUAACACAUAAAUAUGAAGUAUUUGCUAUGAAAUACGUGCUAUUUGUCUAUUUGAGAUGGGCGUGGAAUUGAUGUUUUAUACAAGUGUUAAAUGAUUUAAACUGUGUAAGUAUUUAUAUCUACGAAAAUGUUGGGUAGAACUUGGGUAGAUGGGAUAGUUGGUGACUAUGGAGUUAGCGCCUAUUGUAUAAACCUUGGCGACGAUGUGACUUCGUGCCUAAUUGAUGAACCUUGGCGACUAUGGAGUUAGCGCUUGUCGAGUGAGCCUUGGUGACUAUGGAGUUAGCGCCUAUUGUAUAAACCUUGGCGACGAUGUGACUUCGUGCCUAUUUGAUGAACCUUGGCGACUAUGGAGUUAGCGCACGUUGAGUAAACCUUGGCGACUAUGGAGUUAGCGCUUGUUGAGUGAACCUUGGCGACUAUGGAGUUAGCGCUUGUUAAGUGAACCUUGGUGACUAUGGAGUUAGCACCUGAUAGCUAUGGAUUUAGUACUUGAUAAAUAAACUUUGGCAGCAAUGGAUUUCGUGCCAAAUUCCUUAGGAAUAAAUGAAUGAAGGAUAGUUGGUUCUUAGGAUAAAACCUUGAGAAGAUAAUGGGGAUGGGUAAUUGGGUUGAUUGUUUGCUGAUUAAAUAUAACAAUUAUAUUAUUGUGGGUUGAAAACCCUAUAUGCUCACCAGGCUCCCAAGCCUGACCCACUCAGUUUUCUUUUCAUUACAGGUAAUGGCACAAGGGUAUAAGUUGGCGGACUUGACGAGAGAUUUUGGAUUAUAGAUCAGUAGUUAUAAAUAACUAUUGUAAGGUCUAUUUUAUAUUGUUUAUGCUUUUGGUCUGUAUCGAACAUGACAUCCCAAGGUUUUAUUAUUUAAUGAAAAUACAUUCUCUUUGAGAAAUGUUUGGAUAAAUGGUUAUCAUAUUUUUGUUUUUGGGAACAAAUUCCGCAACAGUUUUCUUUAAACGAUUACUCUGAUUUUAAAAACAAAGCAUAAACAAAUCGGUCUUUUCUGGCCGUGAAAUUGGGGAUGUCACAGUUGGUAUCAGAGCAUUAGUUUAAGCGAACUAGGAAUAUGGAUUUAUUUCUAGACUUAAACUUAGAAUGCUAAGCAAUGAUUGUGAGUUGAGUGUGUCCAUUAUAUUUUAGGUAGUACACCUAAAUUGACACAGGCACUAGUUUAUUUUAGGAAAAUUGCCUAAAAUGCUAUUAUGUGCUAAUUGUUAUAUGUUUGCCAUAUAUGAUGUUAAUUGUUCGGAUCUAUGGUCUGUUGCCGACCGGAUCUGGAAACCUUAUGUGUUUAGGAUUCUAAGCGUGCGUCUACGAUAUUAGAACUAGCAUGUAAACGUUUCGGAGUGAUAAGGAUGAUUUGAAUAUCUAUCGUGAAUAAGGAUCUAAUUUCACCUUAUUCGGUGUAUAGAUCAAAAAUGGUGAGAACGAGGAGUGGAGUUGGAAAUGCUGAUGAAAACAGGAAUCAAAUACCAGUGAUUGAACAAAUACCUGUUGUAGCAGCAGCACCUGAACCAAUGACAAUGGCCGGAGUUCAAGUGAUGAUCCAGGCAAUGUUGAAUAAUCAGAUGGAAGAAACCAGACGUCUGAUCAGGCAGAAUCGCGAGGAAUUGUCAAUUCAAGUUGAAGAGCCCGAAGUAAAUGGAGGGCAGUCUGAAGGAGGAAACUACAGUGGGACCGUUGGUCAAGCCAACCCACCAAUAGUUCGCCAAAACAACCAGGAUGGAGGAAAUGACGGACGUGGAUGCAAGUACAAGGAUUUCAUGGCAUCCAAACCACCAUGUCUUUCUGGGAGCCCGACACCGGUGCAAGUCAUGGACUGGAUCUCCGAAAUGGAGACAAUGUUUGAAAGUUGCGAGUGUAGCAACAGACAGAAGACCGCUCUUGCAAUCCCUCUGUUAAAAUCUGGAGUAUUGAGCUGGUGGAAGUUACUGGCUGGUUCGAUGCCUAAGGGGGAAGCUAGCAAGAUGUCUUGGGAAGAAUUCGUGGUGCAACUGAAAUUGCAAUACUGCUCUGAGCAAGAUCUUCUGGAAAUCAACAAUGAGUUCCAGAAUCUGAAGAAAGGAAAAUUGAGCGUUACUGAAUACGCUACGAGCUUUACGGAGAAGAUGAAGCUUAUUCCAUACCUAAUUCCGACUGAACUUUCCAAGGUCAACAAGUUUGCCAAUGGAUUACCAGCGGACUUUGGUCCGAUAGUCAAACAAGCAACCACUCUGAAAGCCGCCAUCUGGGCAGCCAAAAAUGUUGAGACCCAAAUAAAAGAAAAGGGUCUGGAAAGGGCUGAAGUUGGAGAGAAAAGGAAGCGUGAAGGAUCUUCAAUAAUCGACAAAGAAAGUAAAUUCUCGAAAUCUGGGGGAAGAGAUGAAGCUAAGUGGUGUGAGAAGUGUAAGAAGAAACACUUCGGGAAAUGUAGCGAGGAGAUGACUUGCUACAAAUGUGGGAAGACAGGGCACUACGCCAACAAGUGCGCACCUAUCAAGAAGGUGUGCUAUAGGUGUAACGAAGAAGGUCAUAUUUCUAAAGACUGCCCACAGAAAAACACACCUCCACAGCCAAGGGCAUUCAACAUGUUCCUCAACGAAGCAGAAAGGGAUGGGAGGGUUAAAGGAUGAAGACUUCAUAUUAAUAUAUAAAGUCGGUAAAGUCUGUAUCAGGAAGCAUAGCCUGUUAGAGGCAUAGUAUAGGGUGAACUUGAACUUUUGUGUAAUAGUUUCAAGAAUUAAUAUAAAUCCUAGUUUUGUUAUCUGAUGUGUUGAAUGAUUAUAUGAUUUAUGUAUGGUGACUUGGUUAACUGCGAGACAAUACUUGGGACGAGUAUGAGUAGGUGUGAAUGGUAGUAGAGAUCUAUACUACCGGAAGCACAGGACUCACGCUUGGAUCAGGGGAAGUCACAAGGUUAUCAAGAAGCUAGUAAUUGAUUCCGUUUUAUUCAAGUAUGUCAUUACCAUUGUUUCGGUAAUGUCUAGUAAGAUAGUUGUUAUUCCGACCCUAGGGGUCAUAUCAAUUGAGUCCGACUAUGAUGAGAGGUCAUCGGGACACGACCCAUCAGGGUUAUUACUUAGAAUGGAGAGAUAACUUAUGGAGUCAGUAUGCGAAUCCUAUUUCGUUGAUGAUUCCGGGACGUAAUCAUCCUAAGGGGGAGAUAAUUGUAACGCCCGUAGAUCAGGGCUAGUCAAUUUAGAGACAAUAAGAGUCAAAAAUGACUUUUUGAUAGAAGAUUAUUUAGGAUGAAUAAUCCUAACUAAGUUGUAGUAUAUGUUACAAGGUUUCCGUACAUAUAAAGAACGCCAAAAUCCGAGUUAUAACGAAGAAGUUAUGACCUGUCGAAGUUUCGCGACAGAACCGGCACGACACAGCGCGACGUAAAAAGUGAAUUUACGUUAGAGCGAUAUUUAGCCUUAGCAAUCUAAACGAGAAUCGAAGAUCUCGUUGUUGGUAUCGAAGCGAUAAAAAGUUAGGCGAGAACGGACGUCAAACGAAGAAGUUAUGAAUUUAUAACGAAGUUUUCUGUCGCGGCCUAUUAAAAAUAAAUAAUAAAAAUAAAAGUCAAAAUUAGCCGACGGAGUCUAAACGAAAGUUGUAGAGCGUAGUCUCACCUUCGCGUGGAUAUAAAGAACGUCGAAAACGGAGUUCGUAUGAAGAAGAUAUGAAUUUCCGAAGUUUAUUAAUCAAUUUGUAUUUAAAUUUAAAAGGAAAUUCGGAAGCAUUAUCCGAAGGAGUCACCGGUCUGAUCCGAGGUACGCGCCGCGUACUCGAGUACGCCCCGCGUACUCCGAAGUGUCGACAUUCGCAGCAAGUGGCUUCGGAUGACGCACGCAGUGACGUUUUUCGGACCAGUACGCCCCGCGUACUGGCGUACGCCCCGCGUACUCCGAGGCUCCAGCCUCCUAUAAAUAGGAUGCGAGGGCAGCCGACCCAAUUGCCAAUUUCUUCUCUUCUCUCUCCCGUUUUGCAUCGUUUUGCGUGCCAGAAAUACCCCGAAGCCCCGGUAUUAUACCCUAGCCCCGAGGCAAGUCCCGAGAUCCCGAAGAUCCCGAAAAGUGCGGUUCCCGAGUCGAAGCUCUGCCCGCGAGAAGUUUGAUUUUCGAGGAGAUCUUCCAGAUCUGCUGAGGAAUACUACUUCUAUAAGCCGUAGUGCUGUCGGAUCGUCUUCUGAUCAAGUGAGUGUGUAGUUAUUUCUUCUAAUACAAUAAUACGAAGUAUUUUAUAUAAAAAUACGUGCUAUGUGUAUAUAUUUGGUUGUGUUAUGUGUGAAUGAGUAUUCACUCUCUUCUAUCUUAUAGAUCUGCUUAUUUCUUUAUGAGAUAUGUGUUAUGUGUGUGUGUCUCAUCUGUUAUGUGACAUAUGUGUUGAUUAAAGCAUGCUAUACAGGUUUUCUUUAAACUACGUAUACAAAUGUAUAUUUUUAUCUACUAAUAUUGUUGGGUAGAACAUGGGUAGAUGGGUUAGUUGGUGACUAUGGAGUUAGCGCCUGCUGUUAGAUAAACCUUGGUGACUAUGGAGUUAGCGCCUGCUGUUAGAUAAACCUUGGUGACUAUGGAGUUAGCGCCUAUUGUAUAAACCUUGGCGACGAUGUGACUUCGUGCCUAUUUGAUGAACCUUGGCGACUAUGGAGUUAGCGCGCGUUGAGUAAACCUUGGCGACUAUGGAGUUAGCCGUUGUUGAGUGAGCCUUGGCGACU